rnacentral:rRNA from 1 species
CUACGGGAGGCUGCAGUUUCGAAUCAUUCACAAUGGGCGAAAGCCUGAUGGUGCGACGUCGCGUGGGGAAUGAAGGUCUUAGGAUUGUAAACCCCUGUCACCAGGGACUAAACGCAGGGUGCAUAACUCUGCCUGAAUUAACCUGGAGAGGAAGAGGUGGCUAACUCUGUGCCAGCAGCCGCGGUAAUACAGAGACCUCGAGCGUUACUCGGAUUCACUGGGCGUAAAGGGAGCGUAGGCGGGUAGAUGUGUCAGAUGUAAAAGACCGGGGCUUAACUCCGGACAUGCGUCCGAAACUAUCUAUCUAGAGUAUCAUAGGGGCAAGCGGAAUUGCCGGUGUAGCGGUGAAAUGCGUAGAUAUCGGAAAGAACACCAAUGGCGAAGGCAGCUUGCUGGAGGAUAACUGACGCUGAGGCUCGAAAGCGUGGGGAGCAAAAGGGAUUAGAUACCCGAGUAGUC